CUCAUCAUCACAUGUCACCUGGAAUCAUUUCUACUCUCUCAUGUUUUGGUCUGUUUUAGUUAGUGAAUCUUAGUAGAUACCCAUUUGCUGUAAUUGCCCAUUCUUCUCAUUCUGCAAGCUCAAUUUCCAUGCUUGUUGGUUCUCCAAUACUGGAAUAUUUCCUCCAUUUUGUUAGAUUAUAGUCUUAUUGUUCUCACCGCAUUUUGUAUGUGGAAAAGGCCAUGGAUUGCGAGCAAAAGACUCUCAUCACUGAGCUGACCCAAGGG
rnacentral:misc_RNA from 1 species